AAAAGCAUGGCUACUCACUAAUGCACAGCAGCCCAAGCUCUUUGUUGAUUAAGGGAGUCAACUUGGCACGAUGACAGCGCAGAAGAUUGCCACCAACUUUCAUCAUGCAUAUUCCCACUUCUCUGAAAAAGCUACAGGAAAAGGAGCAAUUAAUGCACAGCAGCCCAAGCUCUUUGUUGAUUAAGGGAGCCAACUUGGCACGAUGACAGCGCAGAAGAUGCCCACCAACUUUCAUCAUGCAUGUUCCUACUUUUCUGAAAAAACUACAGGAAAAGGAACAAGUGGGUGUAUAUAAAGAGACUAAUUUGCUGCAUGAUUUAAAGGUGGACGGUAUGGAAAAGCUAUGGAUGUGUUUGCGGUAAAGCAGGCAUGCAAAUCUUCAAAGAUAAGACAUUGAGCAUCAUUCCCACCAUGCCCAUGUCUCUCCUCUGCCACACUCAAUCAUCCAUUCGCAUUUAAGGAAAACAACCAUAAAGAUAAGACUCUUAUCUUUAUAGCCCAUACCCACUAUCAUUGAUGAAUAUUUUAUUAAGUUGUCUUCUGCAAACUGGAGCAAUUAUUGUAUAGUUAUACUAAUGUGUAAAGAAGGCAGCAUGCCAAAAAAAAAAAAAACGGCAAGCCCAAAAUAAUGGGCUGGAAUGUUAUGUGAAGGGCGAAG
rnacentral:lncRNA from 1 species